ensembl:lncRNA
AUUCAUAAAAAACGCGACCUGAGGGGGAAGCUUAGCUGAGUCAGUGAAGCACUUAAAGGGGCAGAGAGCCUCGAGGAGCCGCCGUUCCUUCCUCGCAGCUCUCUCUCAACUUUUUAGCGAGUUUAUAACCGCCAGAGUGGGUUUUAGGACCCGAGAUGAGAGAGGGUCGGCGCUCAAAGAAAUCCUCUCCAGAGACGACGCCAGUCAGUCAGCCGACCUAGAAACAUAAAUCCCUCCGAAAGGGGCUUACAGAGGUAGAUCGCCUGCCUCCCUCCUGGGGCUGCUGUUUUCCAUUUAAGUGUUGAAUGCAAGAUGGUGUAUUUGCGAAUUAGAUCCCGUGCAGCUGGGAACGAGGAGAAGCUACUCUGCUUGCCAAACGACCGGGCACUAACUGCAAUUGCUGAGAUUCUUAACACAGUGUUCCAGGAAACAAAUAAGCAAUCCUCUCCCCUCUCCGCCCGCUCUGUCCCCUCCUGUGAAGGCCGUGGGGCAGCUCUCUAUUCUCCCAGGAUCCUGGGGCUUGUGAGGGAGUUCUUCUGUUCUCGUUUGUGUGCCCUGCCAUUCACCUCAUGUGCCAGGGGUGGAGAGGGAAGAAGCCAAAUAUCAAGAGAGAGCCCCUAAUAAAAGGGGGCCCUAGUCAACUCUGGUGCUGCCUCCUACCACCAUGGGCCUGGAGUGUGGAUUUUAGAGAAAAAAAAAUUUUUUUAAGUCAAAAUUUGCCUACUUUCUUUUCUGCUUCCACUUAGGGUUCUUGUCAGUCACUCAGUCAGGUCCCACUCUUUGAGGCCCUGUGGAUUGUAGCCCACCAGGCUCUGCUGUCCAUGGGAUUCUCCACAUAAGAACACUGGAGUGGGUUGCCAUGCUUUCCUCCAGGGGAUCUUCCUGACCCAGGGACCAAACCCAGGUCUCCUGCAUUGCAGGCAGAUUCUUUACCAUCCGAACCACCAGGGAAGCCUUGGUCUGUUGUUUAUAGCCAAGAAAGAUCGAAUUUCACCAAGGGAAACCUGGAAUUCCUAGGCCCAGUGCUGACAAGGCAUGAACCUUUGCAAAAGAAUGGGAUGGGCAUGUGGG